rnacentral:misc_RNA from 1 species
AAGGAGUCUAACAUAUAUGCGAGUGUUUUGGUGGCAAAACCAACAGCGUAAUGGAAGUUAACCUAUGCCAGCCCCUAAGGCUGCAGCAUCGACCGACCAUGAUCUUCUGGUGAUGGAUUUGAGUACGAGCAUAUCUGUUAGGACCCGAAAGAUGGUGAACUAUGCCUGAAUAGGGUGAAGCCAGAGGAAACUCUGGUGGAGGCUCGUAGCGGUACUGACGUGCAAAUCGUUCGUCAAAUUUGGGUAUAGGGGCGAAAGACUAAUCGAACCAGCUAGUAGAUGGUUCCUUC